rnacentral:rRNA from 1 species
GACGAACGCUGGCGGCGUGCCUAAUACAUGCAAGUAGAACGCUGAAGAGAGGAGCUUGCUCUUCUUGGAUGAGUUGCGAACGGGUGAGUAACGCGUAGGUAACCUGCCUUGUAGCGGGGGAUAACUAUUGGAAACGAUAGCUAAUACCGCAUAACAAUGGGUGACACAUGUCAUUUAUUUGAAAGGGGCAAUUGCUCCACUACAAGAUGGACCUGCGUUGUAUUAGCUAGUAGGUGAGGUAAUGGCUCACCUAGGCGACGAUACAUAGCCGACCUGAGAGGGUGAUCGGCCACACUGGGACUGUGACACGGCCCAGACUCCUACGGGAGGCAGCAGUAGGGAAUCUUCGGCAAUGGGGGCAACCCUGACCGAGCAACGCCGCGUGAGUGAAGAAGGUUUUCGGAUCGUAAAGCUCUGUUGUAAGUCAAGAACGGGUGUGAGAGUGGAAAGUUCACACUGUGACGGUAGCUUACCAGAAAGGGACGGCUAACUACGUG